AUUUUUAAAAAUUAAAAGCAAAAGAUGUGGGACAAAAAGAAGCCCAACUGCCCUCUGCUACAAUAAAGAUGCAACAGCCCGGCCCUAUUCCAGAUAAAGAAAGACUUUAAAGAGCAUUGGAAAUCCUCAAGUAGAUCACCAAUAAAAGUAGUAUUCUAACUGUUUUAAUCUAAACUAAAAUCAGAUCUCCAUAUUUCUGGCUUUGUUUUUAACCUUAGCUGUUCUACUACUUGAAAAAUUCUGUCUUCCUAAUUCCUUCACCUUGAACAAGUAAUUAAUGCACAUGGAGAAAACAGCCCAGAACCAAGAAGCAAGAGCCAAUGGCCGUCUGACUCUAACGAGUCAGAAAAAAACCGUAUGAAAUAAGCCAACCAAUGAGGAAGCACAGGGAGGACAAGGGAGCAAAAUGCUGCAUGUCUGGCAAUCUCAGUUCAAAGCCCCUAUGGAAACUCGUUAUAAAAAUUUCAAAGGUGUAAGUCAUACAAAUACGAACAGCUUGACCAAGUCACAUGUUUUUAUUUUCUUCCUAAUUUCAGGCAUUCUUCUCACAAACUAGGAGUCCAUCUUUUCUCCCUCAAGUACUCAUUUUAUCUGAUUCAAGAAAACCUGCAAUUUCUAUCUUUAAGACAACCAAUUUGGUCAGCAUUUCAAGAAAGAGCAGUUAUGCUACCGAACAACACACUUCAGGGAUGCAGGGUAUGGAACCAGCUACAGAGUCCACAGGUCUCAGUGCUGAAU